GGGUAUAAACAGGAAUUUUCACAUAUUAACAUCUCUAUUGAUUGGAUUAUACUGCUAAAAGCAUGUAUUACUGUUACAAUUUCAAAUAAAGCAAUACAAAUUAAUGUAAUAAGAAUUUCAGGUCCCACAGGGAGGGGAACAACACCCACCAGGGCCGCUCGGGGGGUGGGGGACCAGAGGAGGGAGAGCAUUAAGACAAAUACCUAAGGCAUGUGGGGCUUAAAUCCUAGAUGAUGGGUUGAUAGGUGCAGCAAACCACCAUGGCACAUGUAUGCCUACGUAACAAACCUGCACAUUCUGCACAUGUAUCCUGGAACUUAGAGUAAAAUUUUAAAAAAUUUUUAAAAAGAAUUUCAGGUCCCUGAGAAGGAGCUGUUCUUGGAAACUGUGUCUACAAUGUUUCAUUAGCCUCUACCCCACCUAGACAGGCUAAGAGAAGGUGGCUGUUGGAAGUACUGCUCAUGUGUCAGUGUUAUCUGGGGAGACUUUGUAUCUUCAGGAGAACCAAUCAGGCCCAGUACCUUACAACUGAACCACUUCUGUUUACUAAAGGCAAUGAAAAAUAGUUUAUCUCCUUUUCAGACCUUUCAGUAGUCAAAGUUAGUAAGUACAUAGUCAAGGCCUCCUAUUUGAAAAACAGCACAGGCCAGGAGGUUCCCACAGCCCCAAUCCUGGAAUAGACUUGGAGACCCUCCUUUGGAGAUGUUAACUUUCCUCUGCCCAUCCGAGCCUGUUGGAAAAUGGAACCCCAACAUGAACUGGGUGGUCUCUCCUGAGUCCUUUAUUGUCAACUUCAAGUGUGUUCUGGAGUGUGGCCUAUAACCUCAAUGAUAGAUAUAAAGCCAGACCAAAACAUGUGGAGACUGCUAAUUUGUCAGCUUUCAGAAAUAAUAUUCUUUAAACAUUUAUUUUACAUGUGUUUAUGUGGAGUCUGAACACUGCAGGGGAAAGAUAGAGAAGUCUGUGGUUGGCUGACUACAAACAGGGUCAUCUCUAUUAUUCCGAGUACUUCAGUGCUAACUGAAGUACAGAUCACUCAGCAAAACAAAAGCCCUCCAGCAACAAUGGCUGCUCUCCAGAUAAGAUGGUAAAUGAGCUUGCUUCUGAAGAGUCUACCUCCAAAUCUGCAUAGCUCAUGACAGUAGUUAUUCCAACCACACUUGUUACUCUCCUUGAAUGGACUCUAGUAAGCGCAAUUUUCUCUAUCUCUGUCACAUACUCCACAAUUGCAUUCAUUUUCCGUUACUGCAUAACAAAUUAUCACAAACUCAUAAGCUUAAAAUGACAUAUACUUAUUAUCUCACAGGUUUCUGUAGGUUGGAAAUCUAAGCACAGCUUAAUUGGAUUCUCUGUUUCAGAGUGUUUCAUCAGGUGGCAACCCAGGUGUCAGCUAGGGCUCGGGUCUCAUCAGAGGCUGGACUGGGGAAAGAUCCACUUCCAAGUUUCCUCAAGUUGUUAGCAGAAUUCAUCUUAUGGCUGUAGGACUGGGAUGUCUUGAUUUCUUGCUCGCUGUCAGUCAUGGGUCUUUCUCAUGUCCUUGACACUGCUUGCAGCUCCCUGCCAUGUGGUGCCUUCCCAUAGGCCUUCUCACAAACAUGGCAGCUUACUCAUUCAAAGCUACAAUGGAGAGUCUCUCUUGUAUUAAUGUUCACACGCACACAUACAUAGCGUAAUGGCAGGAAUGACAUCUCAUGAUUUUGACCAUAUUUUAUUGGUUAGAGGCAAGUGACAGGUCCCACCCACAUUCAAUGGGAAGUGACUAUAGACUUGAACAUUGGGGCCACCCUAGGGUCUAUCUGCCACAGUGGUGUUAUUUUAGUACCCCUUACAGAUCACUACUCCAGGAACCGAUUGAGUGGUCUGCUCCUUAAUCUUUCUCCUAAGGGACAAAAAAAAAAAAAUCAGGAGUAAAUUAUUCUCUGCCUAAAUUCAUGACAACUUCUUCUUUCAUUCCUUGGGAGAUUAAUGUGUUCACUUAAAAAUGAGAAUGGGUUUUCAAGUUUUAUACAAUUUAAGUGUUUUAGUAAAGACAAGUAUUUGGGUAUUAUUUCUUGACCUUUGCUUCUGAGCAGUUGCUGUUAAUAUUUAUCUAAAGUCAAUUCAACUGUGCGUUUCCCAGUUUCCAUUGAAGGGUGAAACUCAUUCAUCUCAGUGCAUUUGAUACUAUUGUAAAUGAAAUCCCUGGAAAAGCAGCAUGAUGUGGUAAGCCAUCCAUUAGACCUUAAUUUUACUUAAAAUCAUGGGCUACAAAGUAUCAUGCUUCAAUUUUAAAAAGUGAUAGCUGUGAAAAACAAUCUUGAUAGUGAUCCCUAGAGGAAUGAAUGAGUAUGCACCCUUGAUUUUGGCAUCCUCUCAAGAGAAGAAAGUUUUUAAGUGAGGAGGCAGGAUGACUAAUGUUUCCAUGGGUAAAAAGAUCAUUUAUUUCCAUACAAAUAAAAAGCCACUUGGCUCUCAACAAAGAUCAGGAGAUUGAAAUUGAAGAAAACAAAAUGAAUAAACAUGGAAAGGAUAUCUGGGGUCAAAAAAGAAUAACACUGUUCCCCAAAUUGCAAAGACAAAUAAACUUAAAAAUAGAAACAUGACACUUUAAAGAGCAAAUCUUAUUCAUCCAAAGGAAGCAAAGACUCAGGAGGGGGACCUAAUAGGAGAUCUAUUAGAGCAUAGCAGAGACCUCAUUGCUGUGUCAUUUUUUAAUGUUUUUGGAGUGGUAGCCUAAAAUAUGUGGUGGCAUUGCCCCCUUCUCUUGCUGUGACAUUGCCUCCCCUUUAUUAUACACCACUCUCUCCCCUUGGAGACUAAAGGGGAGUAGGUUGGUCAAUAGCUGCAUUUGCCAACAUCAGUUCACUCCCUGAGGCUACUCACAGCACUAGCUUUGUCUUAAUUGAUAGCCCCAUGGUUACCACCUCAAGGCCCUGCCUCUCCAAGCUCCAGAGGGAUUUAUUUGAUGGUUCUGACAAGGGAGUUGUCCAUUUCACAUUCGUUGCACCACUGUGCUGUUGGAGUUUCUUUAUAGGUUGCAGAAAGUACCAAACAAGAAAUUCCUCAAAGUGUCUGUACAGUUUUUGUGACACUCUUUCCUAUUUUCCAACUUUUAUAUAGAUUUUGCCCUAUAUAACUUCUUUAUUACAAUAGAAAUAUGAAAGUAUAGGGAAAGAAAGAUUAGUUCAAAUCACCAUCUUGAACUAGACAUUGCAGAUUCUUUUCACAUCCACACUCUAUUUUUAACUAUUUAUCCUUGAAUGACAAAAGGAAAUAUCUACCUUUGACUGAUUUUCCCAGAAAUCUUGUAGAAGAUACUUAUUGAGUGAGCCCACACUUUAUGGCUUGCUGUUAGCUUGUGCCACCUAGGACCUUUAAGACCAGCAAUGUUUCAAUCUGAAGCAUACGGGCAGGUACUAGCCAAGGGAGGACCUUGAUCUGCAAUUAAUCUUACUUCACUGUGAGCUGAAGGACAGUUUUCCAUACGGGAAUGGCUUCUUACCUUCACCUCCACACCAGGUGUGUUGUGUGGUCAUACUGAGUCUCUCUCCUGGUGCUUUGCCUGUCAAGUUGAGUGAGUGUCCCUUGAUCUUAAAAAGGCAAGGAGCUAUCUACAUAGGCAGGAAAUCUGGUUCAGGAAAACAAAUCUCUGUGGGAUGCACACUGUUCGAUAGGGGAUGACCUGUCCCAGAAAUGCAUGAUGCUGCCCACUGGUGUUCUCUGCCUGGCAGUAGUGGCUCUCCAGGCCACAGCACUUAUACUUCUAUGCAAUGAUCCAACAGAUCCCCUAGUCUUAGUCCCAUCCCUGCCACACAACAAAGAGGGUCAUCUCAGGUUGGUAAAGACAUGAUUCAUUCUCAAGAAAUAACAGAGCUGAACUUUUUUACGACAGUAAUAUUGGUUAAAAAUUGAAAAACUGUUAGGAGAAAAAGGAAAAAAUAGAAAUGUAAUUAUAAUGAGUUACUUAAAUCUGCCAAUUUCAGUAUAUGAGAACAUGCAGGCAAAAAUAAACAAAAAAGAAGAAGGAAGAAUUUAAACAAUAAGUUACCAAAGUAGAAUUAAUAGACAUAGAUGGAAAUGUACACUUUUAAAGCAGACAACACACAUUCUAUUCCAGGAUGUAGAGGGAGCUUAAGGAUUUUAUUUUGAUCACAAAAUAAAUUUCAAUAUAUUUAAGAAGCAGAAAUAAUAGAUAUCACAUUCUUUAAUAACAAGUAAUAAAGGGAUGCUGUUAAUAAAAAAUUAGGCAGAAAAUCAACUGUUAUCAUUUAUAAACAGAAAAAUUCUAUUAAACAGGUAUUACUUUUUUCUGAUUCUAGGAAACCAUCAAAUGUAAAACCAACCACUAUUUUAAUAACAGAUUUGUGACGACUGUUAUGACAAGCUAAUUAAUUGUACUUAUUCUUGCAUUUUAUGUAGACUUAGGUUAUAUGUUGAUGUUAAAUUUUUUUAGUUGACUUAAACACUGGAAUUCUGAUAUAUUCUCCUGUUUUUUAAAUUGUGAGAAAAUACACAUAAAAUAAAUUUGCUAAUUUAACCAUUUUUAAGCGUCCAGUCCAGUAGUAUUAAGUACAUUCACAGUGUUGCAUAUCCAAUCUCCAGAACUCUUUUUUAUCUUGCAAAACUGAAACUCUAUACCCAAUUAAACAGGAACUCUCCAUUCCGCCUCCCUCCAUCCCCUGGAAACCACCAUUCUACUUUAUGUCUCUAUGAUUUUCACUGCUCUAAAUACCUCAUAUAAGUGGAAUCAUACAGUAUUUGUCUUUUUGUGAUUGACUUAUUUCACUUAGCAUAAUGUCCUCUAGGUGCAUCCAUGGAUGUUAAAUACAUUUUGAAAAUGUCUUGCAAUGACAUUCUUCUUACAUUAUCUAUUAUUGUUUUUCUUAUGUUAUCUAUUCUUAUAUAUUUAUUAAUAGAUUCCUAAUAAUCUAACUUCCAUUGGUAGGUUAAUUCCUGUUCAGGCACAAUAUUCUUUUACCAAUAAAGUGAUAUUGAAUUCAGAACGUGAAAAAAAAAAAAAUAUAUAUAUAUAUGUAUGAAUGUUAUGAAUCUCCUUAGCCAUAGGUUUCCUCUGGUUGUACUCUUUGAUAGAAAUUGGCUUCAAAGUUAAGCUUAUUUUCUAACUGGGCAGAUGUCCAUAUUUUUUAAUACUCUGGAGGAGUUAAUUCUGUUUUAUAUAAUCUCUUCCUAGGACAUGUGUUAUCCUUUUCCAGAUUUGUUUAUUUCUAAUUUUGUCUCCAUUCAUUAUUAUUGUCUUUCCUCAUGUCUGUUUUCUUGUUCUUUCACUUUCCUAGAGGGCUUAUUUUUUUUUGUCUUAGUAAAAAACCAGAACAUUUAGGGUUUUGUUUUUUCUCGUGGAAAUUUGGUACUCUUCCCAUAGGUUUUCAUAUGUAAUAGUCUCAUUUUCAUAAUCACUUAUUAAUGUGUAUUUGAUUUCCUCCUUAACGUCUUAUAACUUUUUCAUCUUAAGAGGCCCAUUUUCUCAUGUUUUAACGUUUUCGAAAUUGGUUUGUGACUGAAAUAUAAAAGACCCAGAAUAAAUAUGAGCAAAUAAAUUAACAUCUGUUCAAUUUAACUGGUGGAUGCAUGGAAUCUGUUAAAUCUUUAUAUAUAUAUACAUAUUAUAAUUAAAAUAAUUUCAGUGUAUGCUUUUAAAAAGGAUAAGCUCUAGUGAGAUAUGGAAAGAAAUAGAGAAGAAAAAAUAUAACCCAAUGCAUUAUUUUCACUGAUGAAGAACUGAGGUCAUUUUAGAGGAAAUUACUGGUCACAGAGCUUGAAUAGUUUUAGGCAAUCACUUUAGGGGCAAGCUGGAUGUGGAGCAUGCCCUCUGAAGUGAAUGGCCCUCCAAGGACUAAGGAAGGAGAAGAGGGGCAGGGACUGGCUGAGAUGAGCCACCAGUACCCGUGUUCUUCACAGAGCUGUAGGCACUCCCCUAGUAGUCUUUAAAUUGAUACAAAAAUCUAAAAAUACCUCCUUAUCAGGCUUCCCAUGGUAUCCGGAAUAUCCCUCAUUAUUCAUUUCUUUGGACUAAGACAUUGGAAGAUACUAGGAGACUAAAUCCUUGGGAAAGUUAACACCUUAAUCUGGUAUCAUCUUUAAUACUUUGGCCUCAAUUUAAUCCCUAAGUUUGACUGCUGGUCGUCAUUCAGGAUCCUGAUUAAAUAAGACACAGAAAGGUGCACUUUUCAGGGGGAAAUGAUGGGUAGGAAAGUCCACUACAUUCAAAUCUACCCAAAUGCACAGGGUCAGUUAAGGACUGAUGGUAAGUGGUGGGUCUCGGCGGUGGGAUGGUGUGGUGAGAUGAGCAGGCCAUUAAAGCCAGGCUUUUGCCAUGUCACGUGAUUGCCCAGGCUGGGAUGUGUGAAAGCACGCCUCCUUCAGGGUCAGAUUUCACUGCAUCUGAGCAUGUGACCAGCACUGAGAUAUCUGUAAGACCCUGUUCUGUUCUCCAAAUCUACAGAAAACCCCUUAUUGACCAAAUGGUAAUUUGUUCACUUUUAAAAUACCAGGGUUAGAAUAAGUAGCUUAAAAGUAACCUAUCAUAGAAUACUUAGUUGAAAUGACACCUAAAUGGCUUUCUCAAUUUACUUUCUGGAGAUUAAAAAUAAAAAUAUGAAAUAUUGGAGAUACUUUAUUUUUAUUUAUUGAUUUAUUUAUUUUUUGAGAUGGAGUCUCGCUCUGUCACCCAGGCUGGAGUGCAGUGGCAUGAUCUUGGCUCAAUGCAACCUCCACCUCCUGGGUUCAAGCGAUUCUCCUGCCUCAGCCUCCUGAGUAGCUGAGAUUACAGGCACGCACCAACAUGCCUGGCUAAUUUUUGUAUUUUUAGUAGAGACAGGGUUUCACCAUGUUCGUCAGGCUGGUCUCAAACUCCUGACCUUGAGAUCCACCCACCUCAACCUCCCAAAGUGCUGGAAUUACAGACAUAAGCCACCCCACCUGGCCUGGAGAUACUUUUUGUUUAAAUUUAUAAUAGAUUUAAUUUGCUGAAGUCAUGAUUUUAUUUUAUUUCUUAUUUCAACAGUAGAAAUUUAAAAAUAAGCAUGAUCAGACAUGUAUAUAUCAAAAAUGGCAAACUACUAAAACCUCAAGUCAAUGAAAAGUUUUUGAAACUUAAUCUAAUGCAACUGGUGUUUUGUUUGGGUGUUAAGCAUCAGAACUCCUUUAUUAAGAUGAAGUCUUAUGGAGAAGCUAGUAUGCAAAAGAGUAAAGAACAGAGCUGCACUAGUUGAAGGUCCAGAAGGGGAACUAGAGGCAGCCCAUUUGGGCCUCUAUUAAUCAGCUUUUCCUACAAUAGUGCUGUGUAACAACGAACCCCAAAGUUUUAACACCUUAUAACCACAUAUAUUUAUUUUUUGCUCACAGGUCUGUGGGAUGGUUGCCUUGGCUCUGUUCCAGGCUGGGAGAUCGGUUUAGUUCUGCCCACAAAUAUUCUCAUUGUAGGACCAGACUAAAGGGGCACUUGAUGCUCUUAUAGCAGGCAGCAGGGGUGCAAGAGGUUAAAGUGGAAACAUAAAUCACCUUUCAAAGCAUCUGCUCAGAAUUGGCAUACUGUCACUUCCACACAAAUGUCAUUGAGCAAAGCAAAUCAUAUGGCCAUUCCCUGCAUCUGUGGAGUGGGAAUGUAAACUCCUCCUAUGGAAAGAGGGGUAGAGCACUUGCUGAUUGAAAUAUUAUCCACCAUUUACCUCUUUCCUUCUUCCCCUCAAUCACCUCCAUAGAAACCCAAGGUACUAAAAAGUAGAGUUUGAAAACUGAUAAUCGAAUUCAGUUCCCUUCCUUUUACAUAUGUGGAAAGUGAGGUUCAGGGUGAAGCCUGCCUCAUCACACCAAGUUCAUGGUAUACCUAGAACCAGAACUCAGUUUUUCUAACCUGUUGCCCAGUGAUCAAUCCACCAGGAAACAGUACCUCUCCCCUAAAUAAUAAUGCUCCAAUGGAUUAAAUAGAUAUUUUAUAUACUUAAAAUUUUUAGGCUUUAUGUAAAACUUAUAAUUAUAAGGAACAUAGUGAAACUAUCAAUUAGCUUGUGCCUGGAGUCGAUUCAGCCCACUUAUUCAAAUCUUCUAAUUUCAUCCAUGUCAAAAGCAUCUUGGCAAAGAUUUGCUGCCAAUCGUAAUCGUUGGACUUGGUCUAAGGCCCCUCAGGAGAGAAGAUGGGAUGAAAGUUUGGGAGGAAACAAGGAAUUUUAUUGUACUUUUGGUUGUUUUUGCUUUAUGUUUUCAAUUUCAUUUGUUUGUUUUCAAUCCGGGACAUUUUCCUGAUCAACGUGAAACAGCUCAUCAUGUAGCUUCCCUAUAAAAACGACAUGUAAUUCCCAACAAACUCAAGAGGAGUCACAGACUAUUUGUGUAUUUUAGUGGAGGAAAAGAACAGCCAGUUAUAUAUUUUUGAAGAUUUCCAAAAUGGUGUUUUUUCUUAUGCAGUUAGCAAGCACUACUCAAAGAUUCUCAAACUUUUUUUUUUUCUUCUAUUAAAUGUCUUCAUGCCAAUCUGGAGAUUUUAGAGUGAUGGGCUUUUCUAAGCUCUUAGCACUUCCUUUUAGAAACAGGAGUAUUGAAAGAUCAAUAUUCCUUACAAAUUGGUAAAAAACUUAAGCAAGUCUUUUGCUUCUUCUGCUAUUAAACAGCAGAGAGCAGCAGUCCCAGACUUGCUUAAUUCUUAAGUAAUGAACUUCUGUGUUUUGGGGGGAGAAACUUGGCUGCUGAUAGAGUGACUGUUCUUUAGUGCAUGUGAGCCCAUGGACCUAGGAGAACAUCUUUCUGAAGAUACCGACACUGGUGUGCUCUUUCUUUGCUAGAGACAGAUGGUACCCCCUUCACCCUCCUGACUGAAUGUUCCUGUAACCUGAAGAUCUCAGGAACAGUCAAGAGAAAGGGUUUUGCUGGAGUGAAAGUGUGAAUCUUCUGAGUAACCCGAGAGAGGAGGAAAUGAAGGGGAAAGAACUAACAGCAAAAAGCAGGGCUAGGACAAGUGAUCCUCCCGGUGCCUGCAGCCUUUAUCCCUUCUUCCCAGAAGGCAAGAUGCAUAAGGAGAUAACCUCAACUUUUAGGACAGCAUUCCAGCAUUCUCCUGAAGCUUUCCCUGCAAUAAACCAGCACUGCCCCAGAAGCAGUUAAGCGUAUGAUCUAGCCUAAUCUCUGUUAGUGAAAAACCAAAGUUUAAUGAUAUGGGUCCAUACAACAAAGGAGUAUGUUCUAAUGCCUGGAUAUCUGUGAACUUGUCAUGUUGCUUAAACUCCCUCUGAUUGUUGGAUCCAUCCCUACCCAAAUCUCAUGUUGAAAUGUAAUCCCCAAUGUUGCAGCAGGUGGAGCCUGGUGGGAUCUGAUUGGAUCAUGGGGGUGGAUUUCUCAUGAAUGGUGUUCUCAUGAUAGUGAGUGAGUUCCCACAAGAUCUGGUGGUCUAAAAGUGUGUGGUGCCUUUCUCUUCUCUCUCUUGCUCCUGCUUUUGCCAUGUGAGAUCCCUGCUUCCUCUUGGCAUUCUGCCAUGAUUUAAGUUUCCUGAGGCCUCCCAGGAAGCAGAUGCCGCUACGUUUCCUGUACAGUCUGCAAAACCAUGAGUCAAUUAAACCUAUUUUCUUUAUAAACUACUCAAUCUUGGAUAUUUCUUUAUAGCAAUGUGAGAACAGCCUAAUACAUCAUCUGUCCAGAAACUAAAAAAAAUGUAAAUUAUUGAAUGAAACAUCAGCUUUGUUCCAGAUUUAACUUGAUGGCCCUAUCUCAUCUUUGUGGCCUUCCAGUGGAAACUAUAAUAGUUCUUACAAUACAAGCUACCCUUUGAGAUCAAUGUGUAGCAUUUGAGAUUAAUUUUGUAGCAUUUUAGAUCUAAAAAGUUGACAUAAGAAAUCACCUAGCAUAGCCUCAUUUAACGGUUAACUAAAAAUCAGCAACAAAAGGAGUUUUUCUUAGAGUGGUAGGCAGAAUUCUGGCACACACUCCCCAAGAUUCCCACCCACAGUGUACACACACUUUGUAAGCUUCUACCCUUGAAUGUGGGUGGGACUGUGAAUAUGAUGAAUUUCACUCUUAUGGUUAGGUUAUGUUAUACGGAAAAGGUGAAGGAUUUUUUUUCAGAUGUAACUAAGGUUCCUAAUGAGUUACUCAAAAGGGAGGUUAUGUUGGGUGGGUCUGAGCUAAUCAGGUGGGCCUGUAAAAGAAGUGAGAGAUUCAAAACAAGAGUGAUCCUCUAUUGGCCUUGUAGAAACACCCUUCCCUGCUGCUGACAGGACCACAUGGCAGAGGACAGCGGGCCUUCUCUGAGGAGCUGAAGACAUCAGUCCUGUAGCCACAGGGAACUGAAUUCUGCCAACAACCAGCAUGAGCUUGAAAGAGCCCCUCUAGCCUCAGAAAAGAGCAUGGCCCUGGUCAGGACCUGCUAAGACCCUGAGUACAAGACCAGGCUCACCUAUGCCAUAAUCCUGACCCACAGAAACUGUGCAACAAUAAAUUUGGGUCAAACUAAGCCUCCAAGUGGUGCUAAUUUGUUACAAAGCAUAGAACACUAAUACGCUUAGAUCAAAUGUUGGAUCCUAGCAAUGCUGGACCUAGAAAAAUUUCUGUAUUAACAACUCAGUUCCCUCUGGUUAUUGCUCUGUUGGGAGACCUCAGUAUCCCUCACCCCAGCCCAUCACCACCACCACCACCAAGAACACAAACUAAAAUGGAACUCCCAAAUGAACUCAGAACUUUUGAAAAGGAAUUCACAGAAGAGAGUCACUACACCCAGCUGGGAUGAACCCAGACAGAUGAAAAAUGGAGUUUAUGACUGUAUACUCACAAAAGUAGGAUGGAAAUUACACACUGACAGCCCUUGGGCCCCACAUACCUUGCAGAGGUGGUUUCCUUCACCAACAUAAUGCUUUAAAAAAUGGAAUUUGUUGUCAAUAUGUAAAUUUUUUAAUUGUAUAGAAAAAUUAGAAUGGCUGGCUUUUCUUGACAAUUUGGAAGAUAGACAACACUAAGCCCAUGGGGUCUGAGCUGUCAUGUCCCUUUCCAUCCAUCUUCCAAUGAGACGGUCAUUGCAGUCCCCAUGGCUCCAAAUUGUCUUGCACUUGGACUAUUUCACUCAGUGUUUUUUUUUUGUUUGUUUUGUGGGGGGGGGGGUUGUUUGUUUUGUUUUUGAGACGGAGUCUUACUCUGUCACCGAGGCUGGGGUGCAAUGGCACAAUCUCAGCUCACUGCAACCUCCACCUCCCAGAUUCAAGCAAUUCUCCUGCCUCAGCCUCCCGAGUAGCUGGAAUCACAGGCAUGUGCCACCACACCAGCCAAUUUUUUCUUUGUAUUUUUAGUAGAGACGGAGUUUCACCAUGUUGGCCAGGCUGGUCUCAAACUCCUGACCUCAAGUGAUCCGCCCACCUUGGCCUCACAAAGUGCUGAGAUUACAGGCCUGAGCCACCGUGCCCAGCCUGUUUCAUUCAUUAGCUUUAAAUGCCAGGUCCCCAGAGAUUGUGGGUUUGGCAUACAUGUGGGACAAUGUCCCUUGCAGGGAACUAGCUGGCAACUCAACAACAAGAAUGAAGUGUGGAUUCUGCACCCACAGGCAGAGGUGUCCCUUCCUCCAGCAAUAAAGUGCUGUCACGGCCCCAGACCCUUCCUGCAAAGGCAGAGGAAGCAGGAGAGGAAAGGGAGGAGAAGUAGGGGCGUUGGCUGCCUGCCAGGCGACUCCUGCUUCUCAGAGCAGGUAUUAAGGCGCAGAAAAAUGAGCUGCUGCAGCCUAGCUUGGCUGGGGGUGCUGAACAAAGAACGAACUGCUGGUAACUCCGCGCCUGCAGUUCUUAGCUUGCCAGCAGCCAGGGCCGGGAGAGCAUGCUGCGACCCCCACACCUGCUCGCCAUUCUUUUCCAGCCAAGCAGCCUCUUAGCAACGGCUCCCUGCGUCAGCUAGAAACGCCGAGGUCCGAAAGAGCCGGCCGAGGUAGAGUGGAGAAGAAGGCUGCCUUGGCUGGGUGCAGGCGGCAUCUUCUGCACCAGGUGGAGGACAGGCAGCUUUGCACAACUGAACAUCCCUGAGCCAGCCGGCCUCUGAGCAUCUUGCGCUGGCAGUGCCGGGCAAAGCUCCCGGGAGGGGAGGCUGCCUGGCAUGGAGGGGGCAUUGAUAAAAUGGCAGCCCCUGUCCUUGGCUCCGUUAUGCUUACAGGCUCCAAAUGGCCUUUAUCUCGGUCCUCGCAGCCUGCGCCAGUGCAGAGAGAGAAACGGGCGUCCUACCAGCUGCCGGGAACUCAGGAAUGGAGGCAGAGGCGGAAGCAGAGGCUCCAGUUGGUGGAGGCAGCAGAAACCACACUGCUCAGCUUCCCGGGAGGGAAAGGAAACAUCUGGCAAUGUCUGGAGACACUCUUGGCAUCUAGUGGGUGGAGGCCAGGAUGCUGCUAAACAUCCUCCAAUGCACAGGACAGACUCCACGACAAACAGUCAUUCAGCCUGAAAUGUCAGUAGUUCAAGGGGGAAAAACGCUGCACCAGGAUGAUGUUCGGGACCUGGCACUUGCAAACCCUUCACAUGUAGGGCUAGGUUCACAGUUGUGCCUACCCCUGGAGGCAUAUUAGCAGCUCUGGGAACUUAAAACAACAACAACAACAACAACGUUUAGGGCCCUUUCCAGACCAGAAUCUCUGAGAGGAGGGCUCAAGCAUCAUCCACAGGUUGAGACACACCAGGAUGGAGACCCACUGGACCAGAAGGGGUCACCUGCAAGGAAUGACACGCUGGAGGAGGACAAAGGCCAAAGCAUGUGAUUCUUGCAGGACUUUAUGGCCAUGCUAUGGAGGAGACAAUGCGGAACCCCCGGAGUAUUUUAAGCUAGGGAGUAAUACGGUCAAAUUUCCAUUUAGACAAAUUAUUUUAGCAAUGUUAAGCAGGAUGCUUUAGAAAGAGGAGGUGAGGAGAGCAUGAAGACCAGUCAGAAGGCUUUGCAGUGGUCCAGGACAGCAUUGGUGAGAAUGAAAAUGGAAGCAUUUCCCUAUUUCCCCUGCCCCGCCUAGCCCCCAGCCCCUGGCAAUCAGUAGUCUACUUUGGAAAUGGGUUGCAAUGGUGUGGAUUUCAAAAAUAUGCAAGUGAUAACAUUGAUGGGACUUUAGACCCAUGAGAUUUGGGCAUUGAGAGGGAGGGAGGAAUCAAAAGUGAAGCCCAGUGUUUCUUGCUUCAGAACUGGAUAUUUGGUGGUGAAAUUUACUGAGAUAAGAAGCCCAGAAAGAGACCCACAUGAGUUCUGUUCCAGACGUGUUGAGAUAAAGGGAUCCACGAGGAGGCUGGAGCUCUUCAGGUCUGGAACUUGGACAGGCAUGUUAGGCUGAGUUGUACUUUUGCAAGUUUCUCGAAAACAGAUUGAGAAAGAAGAGGACCAUGAACAAAACCCCCGGGAACCCCUAAGGAUGCAUAGAAAAAGGAGGAACACAGGAGCAAAGGGUGCCACAGAGAAAACAAGAGAAGAGAGGAUUUCAAGAAACAGGGAGGAGUUAACAGUGUCAAAGGCAGCGGAGAACUUAGGUAAGAUAAGUACUGAGGAUUGUCUGGUGGAUUUGGCGAUUUAGCAAAAGAGUUUCUGUGGAUCAGUGGGGAAAAGAAAGGAGGUAAGAGAGGAUUGAGGAACAACUGAGAGGGGAGCAUGCGUAGCUGGUAAAGAACUGUAUUUGUAAUAAUAAUAUGCCUAGUACCCUCAUAAAGUUUUUUUAUUGUAGUAACAUACAUGAACAUAAAAUUUACUCUUUUAACCAUCUUAACGUAUACACAUUGGUGAGUAAAGUACACGUACAGUGUUGCACAACCAUCACCACUGUGCAGGUCCGGAACUAAAAUGAACACUCCAAUAAACUUCCAGUCCCAAAAAGUAAACUUUAUACCCAUAAAGAGUCAUUCCCUAUUUCCACCGCCCUGCUUAACCCCCAGCCCCUGGCAAUCAGUAAUCUUGUUUCUUUCUGUAUGGAUUUGCCUAUUCUGAAUAUUUCAUAUAAAUGGAAUAGUACAAGAUGUGAUCCUUUGGGCUGAUUUCAAAAGACCUUCUCGUGUUUUCAAGGUUCAUCCAUGUUACAGCAUGUGUCAGUACUUCAUUCUGUGUCUAGGGCUCAAUAAUAUUCCACGUUAUAGAUAUAUUUUGUUUAUCUAUUCAUGGAUAUUUGGGUACAUGGAUAUGUGGAUGGAUAUUUGGAUCACUAUAAAUAAAGUUUAAGGUUUACAAAUCACUA